UACAAAGGAAUUGACGGGGCCGCACAAGCAGUGGAGUAUGUGGUUUAAUUCGACGCAACGCGAAGAACCUUACCAGGGCUUGACAUCCCCUGACCGCGUAUGAAAGUACGUUUUCACCCUCGGGUGACAGGGAGACAGGUGGUGCAUGGUUGUCGUCAGCUCGUGUCGUGAGAUGUUGGGUUAAGUCCCGCAACGAGCGCAACCCCUACGUUUAGUUGCUAACGCGUGAAGGCGAGCACUCUAGACGAACUGCCGUUGACAAAACGGAGGAAGGUGGGGAUGACGUCAAAUCAUCAUGCCCCUUAUGUUCUGGGCUACACACGUGCUACAAUGGCCGGUACAGACGGACGCAAAGCCGCGAGGUGGAGCAAAUCCUAAAAAGCCGGUCUCAGUUCGGAUUGCAGGCUGCAAUUCGCCUGCAUGAAGUCGGAAUCGCUAGUAAUCGCAGGUCAGCAUACUGCGGUGAAUACGUUCCCGGGCCUU
rnacentral:rRNA from 1 species